rnacentral:lncRNA from 1 species
AAAUUACAGGUGACAUCUCUAUAAGCUUGAAAUAAUAUCCAGAGAACAUCCAGAGAAAUUAUGUAAUUUCCUCGUUAGCUGAGACAAAUUAGUUUCAGUGGGAUCAAUAAAGUUAAUACCUCAUGCAAUGAAACCAAGGAUAUGUGAUAAUAGGUGCGAUGGUUUGGCCAAUUUCGACUGUUAAUAUCCAGGUAUUCAAUUAAUAGAACUCCUACACUUUGAAUUAGCAUGUGACUGACCAAGAACACUUAACGUAAUUCUUAGGUGAAUUCAGCUCGAGGAAGAAUGACAAAGACAUUGAAAUUACUUGUACAAUCCAUGAUGAAAAAUAAAAAAAUUAAAUAGAGGAAAAAAACCCCAUUUGCCUCAGAUGAUGCGCGGUGGAUACAUACAUACGACAGCAUGAUUGCGAAGCAAUCUUCUUAGCCACUGGGCCAUGCCGCGUCCACUUAUGCAUAUGCAUACCUCACAUAGAAAUACGCAAACGUACAAACACGCGUGCGCACGUACACUCCGCUACUUUCACACAAAUUUGAUCAAACUUUUACGUUCACUGACGGCAUCAAACAUUUUACUUUGUAUCUAUUUUCCUCUCUAACAUUUUAAUGUUUUUGAUUUCCUAAUGCAUUAUGUAUGUAUGUGUGUAUGUAUGUAUGUAUGUAUGUAUGUAUGUAUGUAUGUAUGUAUGUAUGUAUGUAUGUUUGUAUGUAUGUUUGUAUGUAUGUAUGUACGUAUGUAUGUAUGUAUGUAUGUAUGCAUGUAUGUAUGUAUGCAUGUAUGUAUAUAGGAGAAAGUAAACUCAUAAUAUAUAAAAAAAAAACCUAAGUGCAGUUCAUUUCAGGUCGACUCAACGCUUGUUGUGCCUGUUGUGGUGAGAAUUGGAUUUAGUGUCCUACACAUUGUCCGAUCAAAGAAAAUGGACCCAAAGUAACUUGUUGGACUUUGGGAAAGUUUACAUAGAGUUACUGAAUUUAAGAUGUGUCUUACUCGCUUAUAAGUUGACUCCCACCAUGUAAGUAUGCAUGUAUGUAUGUACAUAUGUAUGUAUGUAUGUAUGUAUGUAUGUAUGUAUGUAUGUAUGUAUGUAUGUAUGUAUGUAUGUAUGUAUGUAUGUAUUAUGUAUUUACUACUAUGUUUGUAUGUAAGCGCACAUACAUGCAUGUAUGUAUAUAUGUAUGUAUUUAUGUAUAUAUGUAUAGCCAACAGCAACAAGGUAACUGAACGACAGAAACAUUCCUGUGGCCAUACGCUUUUAAUUUUGCCAUUUAUUGUGAUACAUAGAAAUAUAAAACAAAUAAUAUGUCUAUGUUCAAAUUUAAAGAUAGUACAGAUUGUGACAGGUGUAAUUUUGUUACAGAACCUAGAUGCGUUCUUAAUUGCUCAAAUAGCAAGAAGAGAGAUUUGGUACUUGUCGAAGCAAAAUGGCGCUUCAAAUUUUAUAAUAUAGAUAAUUUGCUUAGAACUGUGAAAGGUAAUGACAUUUGUGUCAAAUAAUGCAUUAGACGAAAUCAUAUGAAGCCAAUGUUAUAUUUCGUAUUCAUUAUAUAGGUACAGACUCACAAGAGAUGUAUGCAUGUAUGUAUGUAUGUAUGUAUGUAUGUAUUUAUGUAUGUAUGUAUGUAUGUAUGUAUGAAUGUAUGUAUGUAUGUAUGUAUGUAUGUAUGUAUGUAUGUAUGUAUGUAUGUAUGUAUCUGUCUGUCUAUCUAUCUAUCUAUCUAUCUAUCUAUCUAUCUAUCUAUCUAUCUAUCUAUCUAUCUAUCUAUCUAUCUAUCUAUCUAUCUAUCUAAACAAUAAAUUAAAGAGAGAUUCAAAUAACAAUUCAAUAAUUUAUUUAUAUUACAAUAUAACAUAAUAUACUAUGAAUAUAAUAUAAUAUAACAUAAAUAAUUAUUAAAAAGACAAAUUAAUAAAGAACAAUUUUUUAUAUCAAUAACUUUAAAUAAAUACAAGAGUUAUUAUAUAUUAAAAAUAUAAUUAUCAUUUAUAUCAUUUUACGCGUUAUAUUAUAGUUUCUAGAUUAAGUACGACCCUGGUACUUAAUUAUAUACAUAUAUAUUAUUGUUGUAUGUUAUCAUAAUAGCAAAAGAUUGUCUUAGACAUAAACGAGUUUGGAUUGAUAUUAUUUGAGAUAUAUAGAAAUAUAUUUCGAUAGUUGUAUAUUCUAUUUACUUGUAAUUUUGUUGUAUUUUUAAUUUUUUAAUGUAAUUAACAUGUAGUUGAAUGGGUAACGCUCACGCGCAUAAUACAUAAACGUUUGAAUUAAUUUAUUUACAAUCUAGCAAUUCUUUCAAAUGGAUAUCCUCUAUCUACACACCAAUUGCGCUGAUGAGGCUUAUAUAUAAGGGAACUGAAUUGUUUAUUUAUAACAAAAAACGUUACCUUAUGUAUGUAUGUAUGUAUGUAUGUAUGUAUGUAUGUAUGUAUGUAUGUAUCUAUCUAUCUACUUAAUCAUAAAAAGCAGUGGUAGUAAAGCUUAGAUUAUAUUCAUGUUGGGGAGAUGAGGGGUAACUUGAAAAUGCUGGUGAUACAUGUGCCUGUACACUGCGUUGUGCAUAAAUUUACAGACAUAAAUGUAUAUAGAAUCAUAGGUAGACAUGUAUGUGCGCGGGCGUGUGAGUGUAUCUUAUGCCCCUAUCAAUAAUACACCACACAUCUUCUCAUAAAAAUGAAAACUGUCAUCAAUGUCAUUUGGUUCACCCCACCCUUUUCACUUAAUGUAACUAGCAACGUGACUAAAAGGCUUCUCUACUUGAUAGCUAUACAGUUUUUAAUUCGGCCAUAGCCAUACGAAAUUGUUCAACUGAUAUAAUCUGGAAUUAAGUUCCAGUUGCAUAGACAACAAGAAAAAUAUCAUUUUAUUCAUGCUCACCAUUACAACAGAUUUGGCCUGCUCUAGCAGGAAAAUAAAGCUUGUUAACUUCAAGGAACCUGCAACGAUAAGGCAAUCUUUAUCUUCAACUAAACAUGGAUACUGUGUUAUUUACCUUAAGAGGAUCUUCUGAUGUUCAUACUGCUUCUGUUGCUAUAAAUACAUUUUUAAUAAGCUCACAGGCUAUCUGCGACGUCAGUGGCUGAAUAGGCACUGAGAUUCUAUAUAUCGUUGAUGGACGAUUCGCUUGUAAAGAUGCGAGUAGAUGUCUAUCACUGAGGAGCUCAAAAACAGAGCGAAAUCACUUGGCAGUUCUGGGGACGUAGCAGACGGUUAUCAUCUGUCAACGAUAUAAUCAAUGGUACUUUUAUGCACCGCGAGCCUACACGAGAGGCUCUAUAAAGAUAAAUAAGGUAGUAUUCCUUACUAAGUAGAUAAAGGUUGUAUAAGGCAGUUAAAACAAUAUCCACGUUUAGAUGGAAAUCAAGAUUACCUUCUGCUACUUAUACUGCUUCAGUCGCGAUUAAUUAAAUAGAAGCUGAAAAUGUAAAAUUUAGUGCUCAACAAAUUUGAAGGCAGAGUUUCUUAUACUAUGUUUAUAUUUCAAAUUUUAUUUACAUCUUGCCAAGUGUUCAUGUAGAAAAUAAGGAAGUUGUUUCUCGAAAUAUCAGAAUUUUAUAUGUACUUAAUAGAUGAGUGUGAAUACGUUCAAUAUUUAGGUUGCAAAUGUGGGAGACCGCAUGCGUAUGAAUCUGCGUAUAUUUUGACGGACAAUGGGUGUUAAUUAAAGCAUGAGAUGUAUAGAUAGCUAGGCAUUAGGCGUCAAUAGCAGAGUGCAUGUAUAUGCAGUAAUGUUCAUAUGGUCAGCAUUUUGAAAUUUUACUAUUAAGGAGAAAAAAUAAGAGCAUAAAUAUGCACAUAUACAGACACAACAUAUAUUUAUAUGUGUUUGUGUAGGUGUGCAUGUAUAUAUAAGUGUAUAUGAGAACGUGACCAAAUAUAUAUAUAUGGUGUUAUCCGCACGCACAUAUGUGUGUAUGUAUAUGUAUAUACUAUCCAUCCAUCUAUCUAUCUAUCUAUCUAUCUAUCUAUCUAUCUAUCUAUCUAUCUAUCUAUCAUCUAUCUAUCUAUCUAUCUAUCUAUCUAUCUAUCUAUCUAUCUAUCUAUCUAUCUAUCUAUCUAUCUAUCUAUCUAUCUAUCUAUCUAUCUAUCUAUCUAUCUAUCUAUCUAUCUAUCUAUCUAUCUAUCUAUCUAUCUAUCUAUCUAUCUAUCUAUCUAUCUACACACACACACACACUCAGACAUGCACACUUAAGGAGACAGAGGCGCACAUACAUAUACAAACACACACACACACAUCGUCAUCCAUCAUUUAAACAGUGAGAUGAAUCGGAAGAUUCGUGAGUUCAGCGUUUUGCUUCCUGAUUGUCACUGAUUCGAACUGUUGUCCAGUUGAGUUUAACAACGUCCUUACGACAAUCAAUCGCCUGCUGUUAUCAGUUUAUUUUGAAUUACUCCGGAUUUAUUUUGAACUACUCCUAAAAUGCUAGAAUUAAAUAAAAUGUCUGUUCAUUUACAUUCACCAUACCACUACAAUGUUUGCAGAGUAUAUUCGAAUGGUUCACACGUUCGCUUCAUAACCAAGUGUUACCAGGUUCAACCCUACUACGUGGUAUUUUGAGUAAAUGUAAUUUUCUACAGGCUCAAGUCGACCUAUACGUUGUGAAUGAAAUUAGAGAUACAGACAUUGCAUAGAAGCACGUUGGCUCAUUUGUACCAGCUGUCCAAAAGAUAUAUUUGUCACACACUAACACCGAUUUUGUCUAAAAAAUAACAUUCAGGGCACGUGUGUUUGUAUAAUGCUCAACCUUUUUCACAUCAAUUCAAAACUAGGUAAUUCAGUUGGUCACACGACAAAAUCCUAAUCAUACAACGGUGGAGAUUCACCAUUACCACUACUUCACUAAAAGGUUUCAAUAGAGAACUCAGGCAAGCAUCAACAUUAUGUAAUAAACUUCACUAAAUAUCAAGUCUUUACAAGAAUGGACAAAGGAAAUUAAUUUCAUCUUGAGAAUUAGUGACUUUAAUUAGAUAUCGUUAACUUCAUGGUCUUCGUUGAUGAUUGUUACUUGUCAAUAUAUCCAGUUUUAUGUGUAUGCACUUUUUUGUUUUGUGUGUGCAUGUAUGCUUCUCUAUAAGUAUCUAAUUAUUUAUCUGACAGGCAAUCCAUCAAUUGAUCAAUUUCUCUCUCUCCUUUUCUCUCUCUCUCCCCACACUCACACAUGCACACACACACACCGUCAAAUUGAGACACGCUUGUUCUUCCCUCUUUAUUUUCUCUGUCAUCAUGUAUCCUUUCCCAAGAAAAGCGGAAGCUUGACAUGUUAAAAACUACUUCCAGUUUUCCUGAGCGUCACACUAAUACGUCUGUAUGCUCCUCUUGCUACAUCUUCAUGUUUUUUAGUAAUAUAUAUAUAUCUAUAUAUAUAAAACUGUAGUUGUGUGAAUGUCUGUCCCCUUCGAUUUAGAUUCCUAACUUCUCCCACAUUUUGCGGUGCAGUUUAACCAAAUUCGGGUAUCUUAUAGUCGUGAUUCAUAUCGAGCCCGUCUGAGUAUUAGCGCGCGUCUACGAUAAGUCUACGAUUUAAAAAAUGAUUUAACAUAAUUUUUUAUUCCAUUUUAAUGCAUAAUUUUUCGUGUGUCGAUGGCGGCGGAGUUGGCGUCCAUGGUCACACCUGCACCUGUUUGCUUCUCCCUCUUCUUCCCUCCCUCCUGAAGUUGUGGGGAAGGGAGUGUAAGGAAAUCAACGUCGUAAAGCGUUGUCAAGGAGACCAGCGUUCUUUUAGAACAACGACUUCAUGGCUUGAAGACACCAAAACAGAAAUGGCUAAGAAAGCUCGAAUUGGCAUCUAUAAGGGAAGUAACUCUCUAAAAAUGCUUAUAUAGUUAUUUCCCUUACAAACCCGAGCAACGCCGGGCGAUACUGCUAGUAUAUAUAUAUAUAUAUAUAUAUAUGAUGUUGAAACUUUAAUCCCCACACACAUUUUCUCCCUCCGUUCUCUCCAUUUUUCCUCUCAACUCUUGCUGUCCAACAGUGUAGAUUGAAAUCGUCAAAGCUUUUACCAAACUCAUACAGCUGCUUGUUGUUCCCUCCUCACCUGUCUUCGUCUUUCGUUUUCUGUAAAUUUGAAUUAUGUAUGUAGUAACAACAACAACAAUAAUAAUAAUCCAUGGAUGGAAUUUAUAAAUAUCUUAAUGCAUAUCUAUGUGCAUUUCCGCAAAUAACGUUUCUUAAAAUCAUAGUUCGUGAGAUGAUAGCCAUCAUAGUGAAAAAGAAUAUUUUAUAUGCAUAUUGAAAAGUUUCUCCGAAACGAAAUUAAACAAUAUAUAUAUAUAUAUAUAUAUAUAUACAUAAUUUAUAUGUAUAUGUAUAUAUAUGUAUAUAUAUACAUGUAUAUAUAUAUAUAUACAUAUAUAUAUAUAUACAUAUAUGUAUAUAUAUAUAUAUAUAUAUAUAUAUAUAUAUAUAUAUAUAUAUAUAUAUAUAUAUAUAUAUAUAUAUAUAUAUAUAAAUAUAGGCUCAGGAGUGGCUGUGUGGUAGGAAGCUUGCUUCCCAACCAUAGGGUCCUGGGUUCAGUCCGAAUGAGUGACUUCUACUAUAGCUUCUGGCCAACCAAAUCCCUGUGAGUGGAUUUGGUAGACGGAAAUUAAAGAAGUCCAUCAUAUAUAUAUAUAUAUAUAUAUAUAUAUAUAUAUAUAUAUAUAUAUAUAUAUAUAUAUAUAUAUAUAUGUAUAUAUAUAUAUAUAUAUGCAUAUAUAUAUAUAUGUAUAUAUAUAUAUAUGUAUAUAUAAAUAUGUAUGUAUAUAUGUAUAUAUACAUUUGUGUGCCUGUGUUUGCCCGUCCACCAUCGCUUGACAACCGAUGUUGGUGUGUUGAUGUCCCUGUAACAUAACGGUUGGCAAGUGAGGGGAUAGAAUAAGUACUAGGCUUAUAAAGAAUAAGGUUUGGGGGUUAUUUGUUUGACUAAAGGUGGUGCUCCAGUAUGGCUGUAAUCAAAUGACUGAAUCAAGUAAAAGUGUAAAAGGGUAUAUAUAUAUAUAUAUAUAUAUAUAUAUAUAUAUCAAAUGGAUGGCUUAGAAAACUAUUCCGCUAAUGGAAUAACAGCCAUACCAACAAUCCAACACACUUCCAUCAUCAGGUGCCUCACGGAUAGCACUAUGGCUAGAUAUCACCACAUUUCUUUAAUCUUAAUUCUAGGAAGGUUAAACACUAACAUUAAUUAAACUAUGAUAAAGAAACAACAUUUACCGUUUGUACUAAAACACUAUCGGUAAAUUUAUUCUAUAAGUAAACCUAUAACUAACUUCUAAAUUAUUUAGCUAAAUAGCAACUUAGCACUUGAAGUCCGUACAGAUAAUAUUCUCACCAUAAAAGUGAAAGCCUCUAUAUUGUAUUAUUUUCAAAGCCAAACAAACUCGAUUGAACUUAACUAAUAAUAUAACUACUUCUAACUGAAUUACAUUAUUUCAUAACCCAAAUGUUAAUAAUUAACACUCCAUACGUAUAUAUAUAUAUAUAUAUAUAUAUAUAUAUAUAUAUAUAUAUAUAUAUAUAUAUAUGUGUGUGUGUGUGUGUGUGUGUGUGUGUGUUUACGUUAUCUACCGUUUAAAAAUGUAAUGAAUUCAUUACAAAUGUUCUUAGUAAAUUUGUAUGCUUGGUUCUGGCGGUUAGACAAAGAAUAUUUGGGAUACCCUGCUCUGUAUAUCCAUCAAUCUGUUCGUUUGAAUUUGUAUGUAUUUGUGUGUGGGUUGGGUGAGGGUGGCAAAUGAUUAAAUAAAGAAAAAGAAACAAGUAAGAAAAGAAAAGCUAAAGGAUAGGUCUAAAGAGCCAGCGGUUUAUUGAUUUCGGUAUAUAUAAAAAAUUCAGGUAUUUAUGGGACGAGGAACAAACGAAUUCUGGUUGGUUGUUUCGAUGACAAGUCUGUCUAGAAACGUCCAGCUGUUUAUUAAUUUUAAAAGAUGAUUGGGUUUGAUCUGAGAUAGUCAUUAAAUGGCUGACUGGUUGAGGGAUAUGUGAUUUUUUAAUUCUCUGAAUUUGAAUGUAUGUUGCAUGUAUCUGUGUUUGUUUGUUGUUUGUGAGUGUGUUUGUGUCUGUAAGUCUGUCUGUGUUUGUACGUGUGUGGCGAUUGUUUUAAAUUUCUGUCAGUAAUUUGUUUUAGUAGCGCCAGUAACAAUAACCUCAUUAUUAUAAGUUUCAAAACGGACUUCACAACCAAAGAGAGCACCUUCAACAUUCGUGGCGAAAUUAAUAAACAGCUGAACGUUUCUGUUCAGACUUGUCAUCAAAACAACCACCUUGAAUUCCUUUUUCCUUGUCCCAUUUUCUAGUAAUCACCUGAGAUUUUUUAUAUAUACUAAAAUCAAUAAACGGCUGGCUCUUUUUAGGCAAUCCUCCAAAUAGAUUGUUUUCUCGCUCUUUUCUGUUUUCUUUGUUUAAGCAUUCACCACCCACCACACAAAUACAUACAGAUUGAAACCAACAAAUAGGUGGUUAGACAACGAAAUAUUCCCAAAUAUUUUUUAUCCAACCCCAGAGCCAAGAACACAAUUUACUAAAAAUACUUGAAUUCAUGACAUUUUUAAGGAGCUGAUUCCCGACUCCCGGACCAUAUCUCUGCUCACCGCAGUCGGGGCGGAGAUGGAUAUCUGCAAGUGCGAUCCUCGUGAGUAGGAGUGGGUGUUCCAGCACCUCUCCCCCACCAUCCUCCGCAUCAACGCCUUUUCCAUUUUGUCUGCUGGAAUCAUAAGGCGGUUUGAAUUACAAAUAAUUGAAUGUAAGAAUUUCGUAGCUUCCUACACGGACAAUAAACUUAUAACCAUCGAAGAUAACUAAACCAAGAGUUGUUGACAACGUAUGACAUUGACACAAAUUUAGCUCUCUUGAAUGCUAUCCUGGGAUCUGUUAAUCCUCUGUCCACUGAAAAAGAGUAUAGUUUCUUCAAUUGUGCGGUAAGGAACUUGCUUCCCAAACACAUGGUUCCAGGGUCAGCCCUACUGCGUGGCACAUUGGGAAAAUGUCUUCUACUAUAGUCUCGGUGUGACCAAAGCCUUAUGAAUGGGUUUCGUAGACAGAAACUGAAAGAAGCCCGUUGUGUAUAUAUAUAUAUAUAUAUAUAUAUAUAUACAUAUAUGUGUAUGUGUGUGUAUUUAUGUGAGUAUGUCUGUGUAUCUACGGUUGUUCCCCCACCAUCGCUUGACAACCUGUGUUGGUGUGUUCACGUCCCCUUAAUUUAGCGCGUCGGCAAGAGAGACCGAUAGAAUAAGUACUAGACUUACAAAGAAUAAGUCCUGGUGUCAAUUUCUUCGACUAAAAAAACCUUUAAGACGGUGCUCCAUUAUGGCCGCAAUCAAAUGAUUGAAACAAGUAAAAAAAAUAAUAGGAUAAAAGAUCAUAAUGCAAAAAUGUUUACUGAGCCCAGAAGUGGUUAGAGACAGGUCACUCCCAGAUAUUCAUUAUUCAAUCCCAAGAACCAAGCAAAUACAUUACUGACAUUUUUCAACAAACAGCUGACAUCCCUCACACAUAUGAAUAUACAAAGCAAAUAUUCUCAUUGAGUCCACCAUCGUUGAUAGUUUUCCCCUCAACUGGUAAGAGAUGCUUUAACAAUAAUAAUUAAUGAAUUCAAAUUUUGGUACACGGGACCAGCAAUUUUGGUGCACAGGACUAGCAAUUUCGAGGGGAUGGGGGAAAUCAAUUAUAUCGACCCCAGGAAUUGAUUAGUACUUAUUUUAUCGAUCCUUGGCGGAAUCUGAACUCAGAACGUAAAGUGGACGAAAUGCCGGCGUGCUCACAUUUCCUCCUGUUCGUCACCAUUUUAGAGAUAAUAAUUAAUAAAUAAAUCAUAUCUCUCAAGCUUCUGACUACAUUAAUACAUAAUCUGUCUACCAUUACGAGCGAUAUGUCUGGAAACUUAUAGACGAAGGGACCAAUUUGAACAUCAAAUGGAAAAUCUCCCCAAAUCCAAACUCUAUAAUGACGGGUCUAAAAAAUGUUCAGUGCGUUCGCUUCAAGAAGUAUAUCUAUUAGAAAACUUGAGAACCUCUGACGAAUGCAUAAUUCGAAUAACACUUCAAGAAAUACAUAUUAUCGGAAAUUAAAAGUAGACUACCGGACACUUAGUAAACCAUUCACAUCUGAUUUACGUUUACUUGACAUCAUAUUAUUGUAAUGUCGGUUUUCUCCAUUGUGUUUUUCUUUUUGUCUUCUUCAUUACAAGCGCCUCUUGUAUAAACGUUUACUGCUCGAAAACAACUGACAAACGGUCUUUUCCUCUUAAUAAAUAGUGGAAUAACUUAUUAUUUCGACCAGGAAACUCUAGGUACCUGUAAUUGCAAGAUUAAUUUUUUUUCCAGUUUUAAGAUUAUCUUUAGUCUUAUAGCUGAUCGGGUGUUUUCUACUUGAUGAAGCAUUGCCACAUAAUAUAUAUAUAUAUAUAUAUAUAUAUAUAUAUAUAUAUAUAUAUAUAUAUAUAUAUAUAUAUGUAUUUGUAUUUGUUCUCCCACCAUCGCUUGAAAAUCGAUGUUAGUGUGUUUGCAUCCCCGUAACUUAGUGGUUCGGCAAUAGAUACAUUUUUCACCAAACACCUGACAUCCCUCACACAUAUGAAUAUACAAAGCAAAAAUUCUUAUUGAGUCCACCAUCGUUGAUAGUUUUCCCCUCAACUGGGAAAAAAGGCUUUAGCAAUAAUAAUUAAUGGAUUAAAAUUUUAGCACAAUGACCAGCUCGUCACUGUUGUAGAGGUAAUAAUUAGUAAAUAAAUUGUAUCUCUCAAGCACCUGACUACAUAUAGUCUGUCUACCACUACUAGCAAUAUAUCUGGGAACUUAAAGACGAAGCAACCAGUUUCGACGUCAAAUGGAAAAUACUCUCUAAAUCCAGAUCCUACAUUAACGGAUCUAAAAAAUGUUCUGUGUGUUCUCUUCAAAAUUUGUAUCUAUCAAAAUUUCGAGCAACGAGAUUUUUUUCUCUAUGUUCGCAUUUCAAGAAAUACAUCUUGUCGGAGUUUAAAAGUAGAAUACCGAACACUUAUUAAACCAUCAACAUCUGUUUUACAGAUACUUGACAUCAAAUUAUUGUCAUGCUAGUUUUUUUCCAUUGUGUUUUUCUUCUUAUCUUCUUCAUUACAAGUGCCUCUUCUUUAAACGUUUACUUCUCAAAAAUCAACUCACAAGUGAUCUUCUUUUCAGCUUAAUAAAUUAUUAUUUCGACCAGGAAACUCUAGGUAACUGUAGUUACAAGAUUUGUGUUUGUUUUAUAUGUUAAGAUUAUUUUUAUGCUUGUAGCUGAUCAAAUGCUUUUCCACGUGUUCAAGAAUUACCUCAGAAUCUCAUAAUCUCAUAAUAUAUGUAUGUAUAUAUAUAUCAUGUCGCGUGAUCACGUGACCGACCAGACCAUCAGAUGUUGCUACUCAUCGCUGAUCACAAUGUGUUUGCAUUGUUUUAGCCUUCGAAUGACGCCACCGCGCUGGCUAAGAAAGAGUGAGAGAAAGAGUGGUGAAAGAGUACAGCAGGGAUCACCACCCCCUGCCGGAGCCUCGUGGAGCUUUAAGGUGUUUUCGCUCAAUAAACACACACAACGCCCGGUCUGGGAAUCGAAACCGCGAGUCCGCUGCCCUAACCACUGGGCCAUUGCGCCUCCAUGUAUAUAUAUAUAUAUAUAUAUAUAUAUAUAUAUAUAUAUAUAUAUAGUGAGGGCGCGUGGCUUAGUGGUUAGGGCAUUCGGCUCAUGAUCGUAAGGUUGUGAGUUCGAUUCCCGGCGACGCGUUGUGUCCUUGAGCAAGACACUUUAUUUCACGUUGCUCCAGUCCACUCAGCGGGCAAAAAUGAGUUGUACUUGUAUUUCAAAGGGUCAGCCUUGUCACUCUCUGUGUCACGCUGAUUAUCCCCGAGAACUACGUUAAGGGUACACGUGUCUGUGGAAUGCUCAGCCAUUUGCACGUUAAUUUCACGAGCAAGCUGUUCCGUUGAUCGUAUCAGCUGGGACCCUCGUCGUCGUAACCGGCGGAGUCUUUAAAAUAUAUAUAUAUAUAUAUAUAUAUAUAUAUAUAUAUAUAUAUAUAUAUAUAUAUAUAUAUAUAUAUACAUAUAUAUAUAUAUAUAUUUCAGAUGUACAGAAAACAAAAGACGAAGGCAGGUGUAGGAACAACAAGGUGGUGUAUUAGUUUAACGCUCGGGAAGAAUGGAAAAAGUCUUUCACGUUUCGAGUCCACGCUCUUCGACAGAAAGGAUUAAUAGGAAAAAAGCUGAUAGAGAAUGAAACAAGAACAGAGAGAUAAGGGAAAAUAAACCGUGAGAGAAAAUAUGUGCAGUGUACAUGUCCAACAUGACAAGUUGGCUGGAAAAAAGAGACUGAAUUAAAGGGAGAUAAUAAUAAUAAUAACGAUAAAGGUGAUCCCAACGAACUAAAGUGCACAAGUGCAUGUGAGAAUGGUGUAUGUGAGUGUACAUGUGUGAAUAGGGGCGAGUGUAUGAGUACGUAUGUGUGAGCGAGUGUUUGAUUGCGCGUGCGUAUGGACGUGUGUAUAUUUGUGAAACCAACGUGUGUGUACCAGUUGAUGUGUGCUUGUCCAGGUGGUGAAUGUAUCUGUGAGCGUCUGUGACGAAAUAAUAUGUAUAUGUAUAGUGUAUGUUUGUGAGCGAAAGUUUCAUAUAUAUAUAUAUAUGUGUGUGUGUGUGUGUAAAAAAUUGGAAUGACUAUGAAAAUAAACAAUUAUGUUAUGAGCUUUAUUAGCUUAUAUCUGUAUCUGCAAUCAUAGCUAAGUGCAAUAGCUUCCCCAGAACGUCUAAUAUAAAGUGCACUUCAUGUUUGAAGCUCCGAUGAGGCUAUAGGGUGAUACACGAGCAUUCAACUACGAGUGCAUUGCUAAAUACUUACAGCUUCAACUACAUAAGUUGAAAUCUAAUUUUACUUGUAUGUAUACCAUUCCAUAUGCAUAUAUAUAUAUAUAUAUAUGUAGGUCCCGGGUUGAUUCGGGGUUAACCACAGUAAAUAAGGUACUCAAUACAUAGCAGAGUAAAAUUAAUUUAUUAUAUAGAAGGAGCUUCUACAGGACUAGAACUGUUUCAUUCAAGAGAAAUCUUCAGGAAGCUCUUGAAGAUUUCUCUUGAAUGAAACAGUUCUAGUCCUGUAGAAGCUCCUUCUAUAUAUAUAUAUAUAUAUAUAUAUAUAUAUAUAUAUAUAUAUAUAUAUAUAUAUAUAUAUAUAUAUGUGUGUGUUUGUUACGUAAUGUAAAUCCGUAAACCGUUAAUCUAUAAUUCUUAACAAAAAGUAUAUUCCUAUAAUAAAUAUUAUACUUAACCCCCAUAAAGUACCGUAUGGAGGAACCAAAAUAAAAUAAUAAACCUGUGCUAUCAUACAGAAGCAAAACAAAUAUGUUUUCUUCUCUCGUUAAUGUCACUGCUCAUUGUUAUUGUUAUAACCAGCAGCGAUAUUAAAGAGAGAACGAAAACAUAUUUUACUUGGAAUCAUACCAACGUAAUGCAUAUGUGUACUCAUGUACAUGUGCUCACAGACAUACAUUCCUACAUUCUUAUAUGCAUACAUACAUUCAUAUAUAUAUAUAGAUAAAUAGAUAGAUACAUACAUACUAUCUACAUGUAUAUAUGUAUAUAUAUAUUUAUAUACAUACACAUAUAUAUAUAUAUAUUUAUAGACACACACGCAUAUAAAAACAUAUAUAUACUUAUAUAUGUAUAUAUAAUUACCUAUAUGCAUGCGUGUUUAUCUAUAUAUUUAUUUAUCUAUCUAUCACUUCGUAUAUAUAUGUAUGUAUGUAUGUAUGUAUGUAUGUAUGUAUGUAUGUAUGUAUGUACGUAUGUAUGUAUGUAUGUAUAUAUAUAUAUAUAUAUAUAUAUAUAUAUAUAUAUAUAUGUACAUGUAUAUGCAUACACAUAUAAAUGCGUAUGUGCACAUAUAUAUAUAUAUAUAUAUAUAAAUAUAUGUGUGUGUGUGUGUGUAUGUACAUGUAUAUGCAUACACAUAUAAAUGCGUAUGUGCAUGUAUUGUGUUUGCAUGUAUCUAUGUAGUGCAAUACUAUUGAACUAAAAGAAUGAGUAAUAACGAUCGCAUUGUUGAAUAAAUAUUUUCCUUCAAUAAUACUGUGCUGUCGAUAUGAUACCAAUGGUUUCACGUUAAAUUAUACUGGUAGCAGACUUAUUAUAUCAGCCUCAGUGUUCUAAAAUUUAGUGCAUAUACAGAUAUUUAUAAAUAUAUAUAAAUAUAUAUACACACACACACACAAACACACACACACAUACAUACAUACACACACACACACACACACACACACACACACACACACACACAUACACACACAAAAUAUAUAUAUAUAUACACGAAUGCUUACAUGAAAAUAUACGCAUGUGAAAAAUUAACCUUCCUCAUGGAAAAAAAUUGAAAUCACUUGGUGGUCCCCUACAACAUUCAAGUGUGUUCUCGGGCUCACACGAGAGCACAUCUGACAUAUCUGGGAUGUGAUGCAUCUAUACGCACAAAUAAUUUUGGUCAUACGCAAUCCAGAAUUUCUGACUGAUAAGCCAAUACUGUGAAGAGCACAAUAAUACACGUUGUUUCUUCCUUGUGCUUCUGUACCCACCCCACAGUCCUCCGUUCAUCUGAAACCACAAGUUUUUAGCUUCUCCUCCAGGUUCAUGCGGUGUUCGCACUCCUUUCGUCUUAUUCGAUCUAUUGUGUCUUACCCGCAACUUCCGUACUAGAUAUUAUAAACAGUCUCAGAACCGCAAACUCCUGCAAUUCCCGCACCACGAUCAUGUCUCUUGCGAAGGUCAACCGAGGAGGUUUUAAAAGCGAAUGUUUAUGAUUCAAUAUCAGAAACCUAGAAGAGCUUGCAAAGGUCAUUGUUGCUACCCUCCUCUUCUGAUUAACUACCUACAAAAAAGGAUAAAAUUCACUACACAUAUAAUAUAUAGAUUGGGUUGUAUGUAUCUGUGCAUAAAUGUAUAUGCAUAUAUAUAUAUCAGAGAAUCAAUAAAUCAGUAAGUCGACCAAUCAAUUAAUAAACCUAUCAUUAGUCUCUCUCUCUCUCUCUCUCCCCCCUCUCUCUCUCUCUCUCUCUCUCUCUCUAUAUAUAUAUAUAUAUAUAUAUAUAUAUGUAUAUAUAUAUAUAUAUAUGUAUAUAUAUCGUAAUCUAUUUACUUGUACACACGAACGUCAUCCCCACCCACAGGUAUAAAUCUAUAUAUUUAUCUAUUUAUCUGUUAGCUAUACAUGUAGCUAUAUCUGUAUCAUGUAUUGAGAUAUUCGUAUAUAUAUAUAUUAGCAUGUAUAGAUACAUAUCAGUACAUUUAUCCAUUCCUGAAUGUAGCUUUUUUUUCAUUUAUCUAUACUUAUAUAUGUAAGUUCGGCGAGUAUGUAUAUUUGUGCAUGAAUAUAUAUGGGUGAAGUCAUAUAUAUAAGCAUAAAGUUAAAGGAGCGUUUAAUGUGUAUGAAGUUAACCUAUAAUUUCGCAAUAUUUCGGCGUAACCAUUGAAAGUGAAACGCAACUAUGAAUGAAAGAAAACAAUCUUUUCGUCUGAUUCAAUUAGGAAGUUAAACUAUCUCUCAUAUUCAUAUGUUGGUCUUUCUUUAUUUGUAUGUCCAUCCCAUAUAUGUACCGUAGUAAUCUCUGUACAUUUUUGUUUGUCUAUUUAUCGAUCUGAGAGUGUGUGUGAAUAAAAUAUAUCAUUAUACUAUUGCCCAUACAUUUGAGUAAUGGAAAAUGUACUUAAAGCCCUCACCGCGCACACGCACACACACACACACACAUAUAUAUAUAUAUAUAUAUAUAUAUGUGCAUAUAUAUAUAUAUAUAUAUAUAUAUAUAUAUAUAUAUAUAUAUCCGCCCAGUCGAAAUCGACUCUCGGUUACUCCAUGGAUCAGUGUCCUCCUGUCAGUUCUAUCCUGGGCCGCUUCUUUCAGAUUGAUUAUGUCUAUUCCGGUAUCACUCUUGAUGGUGUCAAGCCAGCGGGUUCUUGGUCAGCCUCUUCCUCUCUUGCCACUGACCAUUCCGAGCAUGAUGUCUCUCUCCAGGGAUUUAUAUAUAUAUAUAUAUAUAUAUAUAUAUAUAUAUAUAUAUAUAUAUAUAUAUAAAAAUAGUGUACAUUGAAACAUAAGAGAAAACUACCCUUUAACAAGUAAUUUUUACACGCUAGAAGAAGCAGCCAAAACGACCACGACCAGAUUUAAUAGCAAUUUUCGAAGGAAAUGAAAAAUGAAAACUUUUACCUUGUUAAUUUUUGCUGUUAUACCUAGGUUUCAAAUUCCUUUAGCAAAUAAGAUAAUUUGCUAGGCGAAUUCUCAUCAGUAACCGGCCUUAACAAGGUAGGUGAUGUAGUGGUUAGGUUGUUGCUCUCAUAAUCGUAAGGUUGUGGUUUCGAUUCCUCGUCCGAGCGACGCGUUGCGUUCUUGAGCAAAAUAUUGCAUUUCACGUUGCUUCAGUCUAGUGAGGGGAUGGCGAAUAUAUACGCCACAGAAUCUGGGAAACCGGUCUGAUGAGCCUAUGAUUAGCGAAGGACGUUUGUUUCUUGUUUUCUUUUGUAUUUGAAUCAAAACAACACCGGUUGUUACGUAAUGAGUGACAAAGGCUAUGACAGCUUUCACACGUUUUUUGUCUAUCAGAUUUACUCACAAGAUAUUUCUCUGCCUGGCGAUAUAACAGAAGAAACUAAUACACACAACCCACAGUGUAACUGAACCUGAAAGCUUAUGCUUGGGAUGCGAAUUUCGUAACCACAUAGCUAUUCUUAAAAUAUGAUAUUAUAUAUAUAUAUAAAUAGAUACAUAUGAUGAUAUAGAAAAUUCACACACUCCUGAACACAAACCCCUAUAUAUAUGCAUACACAAAUAUACAUACAUAUAUUUGUGUGUAUCUGUGUGUGCAUAUGUGCGCAUAAACACACACACACACACACACACACACACACACACACACACACACACACAUAUGUAUGUAUGUAUGCAUUCUUACACACUUACAUCUUAUCUACACACAUGAAUACACAUAUAUUAUGUAUGUAUUUAUUUUCCUGGGAGACAAUUUAUAAGCCAAUAUAUUUAUGUUGAUGCAAUUAAUUCUCCAUAAUCCAUUUAUGCUGAAAGAAUCUCAAUCUGAACAGACCCCAUGGGAUAUAUAUAUAUACCACGGCUAAGACAAGCUGUAUAUUUAUCACGUUGGUCGUUUAUUAUUAUUAUUAUUAUUAUUAUUAUUAUUAUUAUUAUUAUUAUUAUUAUUAUUAUUAUUAUUACUAUUAUUAUUGUCGUAUUGUAGUACGUCAAUCAGGAUUGUUUGUAUUCAUAUAUGUACAGAUGGAUGACUACCCAUAUGUAUGCACGAAUUUAUAAGUGCUCUUAUAUAUAUACAUACAUACAUAUACAAUCUGUUGAUUUGUCUAACCAAUGACAAUGUUUUCUAUUUCACAUCGGUGUCCAUUCAUGCUCUCGUAGUCUACACUUCUAGAAAACUACAAAUUGCCCCACCGCACCACACUACCCAUAACUCUUUGUUUUGUUCAAUGUGUCGUUUCCUACUUUAAUAUGUGAUUUGAGGGAAAAUUAGUUGCCAAUCCUAGAAAGUCGAAACACCGUACCGAAGGCAUCAGUUGGGGGAAAGGCUGUUCAAUGUUAAUUGUGACGCAGUCCAGUGCUGCUGGUAGUAAUAACGUAGCUAAAGUUAUGGUUGAAGUAACAAUGACACAGCUAAGCAAUUAUUGUAAUGACAAAGCUUAAUAGUUCUAAUAUCAUUAUCCAGUUCAGUGUUAGAUGCACUUAUAUUUCUAUGUGAUAGCUACAAUGACAAAUCCCUGUGUUGCUUGUUAUGUAACAGUGAAGUCAUUAAUAUGAUGUAAUAUGGACUAUCUUCUUCUAGAGGUAAGACUGGGUAUGCGUAGGGCCAACACUCUUUACUAGAAAAAAAUUAAAUUUACAGAAGCAUCGACGACAAUUCAAAACCUUGGAAAGUAAUAUACUCCCUCAGAGAACUAUAUGACGCCGUGUAGCAAAAUCCGAAAGGAGGUUGCAAGGAAGAGGAGAAAAGUCGUCGAUCGAUAACUUGUGCCACAUAGGGUGCAAUGUAAGUGAGUAAGUCAUCAGUAGCAACCAUAACCCUGUGAUGAUUUAAAAAAAAAAAGGACCAGUGAUACUUUUAAUGACAGCCUUUAUAAAUUCAGUGUGGCUUUAUAGUGAUAUACAUCUAUAGGGUUCGUAAUGAUAUGACUAUGCUGUGAUUACAAUGACAACCCCAAUGAACGUUGCAAUAAAUCAGUUUGGUAGUGAUUACAAAUAAACAGCUCAGUUGAGGUUCAAAUGACACAGCUUAAUGAUGGUUGCUUUGAAUACUUCAGAAGUCGCUAAUUAUGGCACAAUCAGAUGUGGUGGUAAUGAAAGCAUCUCAGCACUAGCAAAUGUUGCAAAUGAUACAGCAUAGCAGUAGUAAUGACACCAACUCAUUUGUAGUCAGAAUGACACAAAUCAGUGUUAGUUGUAAUGAGGCCGCAAUAAGGUGCUUGUAAAUGAGAUUUCAAUGGUGAUUCUAAUAUGAAAUAGCUGUAAGAUUGUAGUAAUCAAUGAUUAUUGUAAUGAUAGAAUUCAAGAGUUACUGACCUAACACCGCAGUAGUUACUGAGUAGUGAUUGUACAAAAACAACUCAGCUGCUUGUCUUGUUGCAGCUCCGUGGGGGUUAAAAUCAUAAAGGGUUCAAAGAAUAAGUAUAAACGAUUAUAAAUUAUUCGGGACAACCACAUACAUUUACAUUGAAGAAAUAAACGGACAGAACAAAGUCAAAAUAUAAGGUGUAAAGUUAUGGGAAAUAACUCCUAAAGUACUGAAUACAUACUCACAGGUAUAUGCACAGGUAAGACACACAGAGCUGUGCUCGGUAGUGAAGUGAAAGCACGCUAUACAAAUAAAACUACUGAAUAAUAAUAAUAAUAAUAAUAAUAAUAAUAAUAAUAAUAAUAAUAAUAAUAAUAAUAAUAAUAAUAAAAAUAAUAAUAAUUAUUAUUAUUAUUAUUAUUAUUAUUAUUAUUAUUAUUAUUAUUAUUAUUAUUAUUAUUAUUAUUAUUAAGGCAGUGAACUAGCACAAUCCUUAGCAUGUCGGGCGAAAAUCUAUUAUAUAUAUAUAUAUAUAUAUAUAUAUACGAGCAAAACACCCCCCGUCCAAUAGACGGUGCUGAGUUGUAAAAUAUUUAAACCAAAUUUUCUCAAAACUUGUCCGACCGUCCCAUAGGCCUCUCCUUUGAGAAACACUGAUUUAAUCUAAAUUUAAGACACCAAACAGGCCGGUUUUUUUGCGCAAACUGCACGUGCAUUUUUCUCGAUCGCGAGAGCUGAUCUACUUGCGCGUACAAAUGCACGUUCGCACGGCUUUAUCGUUCGGAUUAUCAUCUGGAAUCGAUUUUUGUAAUUUUUUAAAGACUUAUACACGCCCUGAUAUCGUCGGUAUCAUAUUUGAGCGCAAUCGGAUGGAAGAUGCCCGAGAUCCUACAAGACACACACACACAGACAGACACAACGGAUUUUAUAUAAGAUAUAUAUAUACAUAGAUUUGUGUGUGUAUAUGUAUAUGUACAUAUAUAUAUAAUUAUUCAUAUACAUACAUACAUACACACGCACACACACAUAUAUAUAUCUGCAUAUAUGGACCCGUACACAUAUACAUACUUCACUAAAUAUAAUUAGUAUAGAACAAUGACAUUCAUAAUUUUCGUUUCAGUUCACCUGCUAUAACGUGUUUGAUUAAGCGUUUUAAAGAAAUUAAAACUCCCACUUCACAAACGAAUCUGAAAUGGAUGCUCUUCACUCAAAGACGACGCAAAAAUUCAUUUUGUCCUAAUAUAAAUCAUUGAAAAAACGCUACAAAAUGACAAUCUAUUGUGGCAUCAAACACCUCAAUCAAUUUCACUUGUUACAGGGAUUCAAUAAUAAAGUGUUAUAUAAUGCUUUGGUUAUGCAAAAAUCCACUAAAAAGAGAUGCUUUAAAAAUAAACAAGCAGGUUAUUGAAGAAAAAAAAUUAAAUUUUUCUGAACUCUCCUACAAUGCUAUUUAUAAUUUAGAAUGUCAUGUGAAUGUGUUACACCACAAAGAGUCUUGAUUGAACUUUCAGUAUAAAGUAAUAUAAUGUUGAUAGAUUCGUUUGUUCACUGUUUUAUGCAACCAAAUGAAUUUAUUUAAAUAGAAUCUCUCUUUUUCUCUGUAUGCACGCAGGCGCUAACAAAUUACACAGAUAUACACUUUUUUCUUUUACUUGUUUCAGUCAUUUGACUGCGGCCAUGUUGGAGCACCGCCUUUAAUCGAGCAACUCGAUCCCGGCACUUAUUCUUUGUAAGCCCAGUACUUAUUCUAUCGGUCUGUUUUGCCGAACCGCUAAGUGACGGGGACAUAAACACACCAGCAUCGGUUGUCAGGCAAUGCUAGGGGGACAAACACAGACACACAAACACACACACAUGCAUAUAUAUAUACAUAUAUACGACGGGCUUCUUUCAGUUUCCGUCUACCAAAUCCACUCACAAGGCUUUGGUCGGCCCGAGGCUAUAGUAGAAGACACUUGCCCAAGGUGCCACGUGGGACUGAACCCGGAACCAUGAGGUUGGUAAACAAGCUACUUACCGCACAUACAUAUAUAAACACAAACACACAGAAACACACACACACACACACACAUACACACAUUUUUUAUCUUUUACUCGUUUCAGUCAUGCUGAGGCAGCAUCUUGAAAAGUUAUAGUCAACCCCAGUACUACUUUUUCAAAGUCUGGUACUUACGCUGUUGUCCUUUUCCUUGAAUCGAUAAGUUGCGGUAACGUAAACAAACCGACACCGGUUGUCAAGUGAUGUGUUCAGACAUAAAAACAAUGACACAUAUGCACACGCAUACACACGUACACAAACACACACACACACACACGCACACACACACACACACACACACACACACACACACACACACACACACUCACACGCACGCACACAUUCUGUAAGUUCCAUCAAUUAAAUACACUAAAAAAAAACUUUGGGCAGCCACCACUAUUAGCAAAAGACACAUGCCCAAGAUGUCACACAAUAUGGCUAAACCAUAGAUCAGAUGAUUGGGGGGCAACUUUUUCAACCACACAGUCACGUUAGUGUUAUACAUACAUACAUAUAUGCAUACAUACAUACAUACAUACGUAAGUAUAUAUUAAUACACAGCCACGCCUAUAUAUGUGUAUAUAUAUAUAUAUGUGUAUAUAUAUAUAUAUAUAUAUAUAUAUAUAUAUAUAUAUAUGUAUGUAUGUAUGUAUGUAUAUAUAUAUAUAUACUUCGGUGCGAAUGUUUUUUUUUAUACGGCGCCGAGUUUAUGAUCCUGUAAAUAAUGGUAAUUUUAUAUAAGCUUAAAGCUUAUGGCGAUCACCGUGCAAUGACUAAGGAAUAUAGUCUAAUAAAGGGGCAUAUAGGCCCUCGACAGAAAAAAAGAAGGCUUUCCUAUCUGCGUGAGAGUCGAACCCACAUCUCUUUGUUAACGCGACUAAGUGUAUUACUUUUAUACCAGCGGAUCAGUCCCCGCCCAUUUCUGUCAAAGUUAAGAACUAUAAUAGUUCGUAUUUUUUUUUUAUGUAAACAAACUUUCUAUAUGCUUUCGGUGUGUAUGGAUUUUUUAUACAGCGCCGAGUUUACAGUCCUGUAAAUAACAAUAAUGGUAUUUUUAUAUCCGCGAGGGAUAUAGAAAGCAUAUACAAUUUGAUCAGAUUUGAUCCCAUAACAUAUAUGAAUUUGAUAAGAUUUGACCCGUAACAUAUAUGAAUUUGAUCAGAUAAAAUGCUUAAAUAGUCUUGACUACUAAUUCUACCAUGAAGGAAAACCUUUUUGAUAGUCCGAUAGAUCUGUCAUUUUAAUGAAUUUUAAUUACCUUUUUCUGAUGAUAUCUGAAAAAAAAAACAGCAAUUUUAGCAAAACAUAUUAAAACAUAUUAGUACUAAUAAUAAAUUCAAAAAACAUAAAAAUUAUCAAGCUUUUUAACGGUUUUAUAGAUAUUUCAAAAUUAUGAGGCUAUGAUGCUAGGUGUUUCCAUUAUUUUGUCCAAAUCCUGUAUAUAUGUAACAUACAUACACGUACGCACAACCAUAGUCUUCCGAUUCUGUUAAUUUUAGCGACUCACAUGUAAGAAAGAAGUCUGAUACUCAUUUGCCGACCUCUGUCGAACACAGGCUCUUGACUGCUGCUAUUGUAAAGACGGACUCACUUAUACGUAAACAGACACACUUAGACGUUGAUAUAAAUGUCCUGGAGUAUAGCUAUUUUAUCUGGAUGAAACCUCAAAUCCAAUACUCUUGACAUUUUGCGAGUGACAACGGUUUGACAGAUGACAGCUAUGGCGGAAGAAAACAACUGAUGUGAAUAAAAAAUUAAGGAAACACAUUAUCCCAUUGGCUAAACAACUUCUCGCAUUACUAACGCGUGAAAUACGGUGUCAUUCAUUAAAAACAUCCAAACAACCAAGAAAGCAAAUCUCAGAUUACUAUCAAAAGGUAAAUGAUCGGUAUAAAAAAAUAUCAGAUUGCCAUAAAAAAGUAAAAUAAUCGUUAAAAAUGACCGGUAAUAGAAAUAAAUAUCCUUAGAAUAAAAAGACUGUGAUAUAAAAUAAGACGAAUAAUAAUAAUACAAUAGGGAGUAGUUGGCUAAUAGUUUCGCUGGGGGAGGGGGGUAGCAGUGGGGAGGAAUAAUUGUGUUUAAGAAAGACAUUAUGCCGAUUAGAUAACUGAGAAUUAAAUUAAUAAGCAAGUAUUUAAGUAAAUAGAUUAUCGAUCAAAAAAAUUGAUAAGUAAUUGAUUACAUAAUUUCUAAUUAAAUAAUUAUAUACUUGGCUAAUAAACUGUAGAGGCACACGACUUAGUGGUGUGGUGUUGCUCUCAUAACAGUAAGAUUGUGUUUUCGAUAGUUAGCAAUACGUUGUUUUCUUGAACAAAACAUUUUAUUUCACGCUAUUCUAAUCCACUCAGCUAUCAAAAAUGAGUAAUGCUAUGACGGGCUGACGGACUGGGAGUAAAUUUAUAUGCCACAGAACCCGUGAAACAGCCUUAUGCUCAUAUGACUUGGGAAGGACCUUUUACUUCUUUGACAAAUCAAUUCAAAACUACUAAAUAAAUUAGAGUAGAUAUCAAAGAAACAGACAGUGGGAAUAAUUGAAAACGGUAUACCAAUGCAAUACAACGGAGAUGGAGGUUAGUGAAUAAUCAUAGAAAUGGAGGAUUACAUGACACAAACUUAGAUGAUAAAACUUCAACUUAAUUGUAAUCAGAUAUUAAUUUUUUCCCUGGCGAAGCCGUUGAUACUCAAGUUAUAUGAAUUGAAUAAUUAAAAGGACAAACACCUUCCCUAUGUUAAGAGCACCAACAUGCAUAGAGCGGAAGCAAUUGCUAAAUCAGAUCCUGUUACAUGCUUUAUUAACUCAAGAUGUUUUUGAGCUAAUUGGAUGUGUGUUUUUUCCACUAACAUCCACACUCGCUUCUGUUUCGCACUAGUUAUCGUCUGGACAAGAGUUCUGCAGAUUAAUGAGCUUAUGGCUUCAUUAAUGAGUAUAUGACUACACGCGCACACACACACAUACACACACACACACACACACACACACACACACACAACAACAACAACAACAACAACCCACAUGUGUAUAUAAAGGCUCGCAAUCAUGAAGUAGUGUGUUCAAUCCCGGACCGGGCUGUAUGUGUUCCAGUUCAUUCAGCAGCAGAUAUGGUGGCAAGCUGUAUCGGUUUUGCAUUUCCCUUGGAUAAUAUCGGUGGCAUGGAGAGGGAAAGCUGGUGUGCAAGGACGACUGUUGGUCGUCCAUUAAAACAAUCUUGGUCGAACUUAUGGCUUGGAUGGGAAUUUUCUAGGGUCAUUCAUGACCGAACUGGGUCUAUAUAUAUAUAUAUAUAUAGAAUGGAACUGAUAUAUCAAUUGAUAUAUCAGUUCCAUUCUAGCAAAAACUGUCUGAUGAACGGCAACGAGAAACUCAGAGUAACAGAUUUUGUUAUAUAUAUAUAUAUAUAUAUAUAUAUAUAUACAGGAUGUCCUUAAAGUUUCGUUACAAUUUUAAAAAAUUAUUACAAAGGCAGUUGAUGAGAUAUUUUAGCCAGAUUUGUUGUAUUUUAAUAAUUGUUUAUUAAAGUUUUGUGUUUCAGAUACUCUGUUGAUGGAAGGGAACUGAUUUACUGAACCCCUAUAGAAUGAGGAUGAAGCAUUCUUCAAGCGAGUUUGUUUUAGUGACGAGGCGACUUUUCAUGUUUCAGGGAAAUUAAACAAACACAUUGUGAGAAUCUGGGGAUCAGAACACCCCCAUGUGACUAGGGUGCUUCAACGGGAUAGUCCAAAAGUGAAUGUGUGGUGUGGAAUCAUGUGCAAUCAAAUAAUUGGUCCAUUUUUCGUCAACGAGGCAACAAUUACUGCAGAUGUUUACCUCGAACAUCUGACCGAAUAUGUGGCACCACAACUGAUUGAUUUACAGCCAGUCAUCAUACAUUCGGGACGGCACAUUCGUCAGUUCCUCAAUCAAACAUUUCCAGACCGAUGGAUUGGAAAGGAUGGGCCAAUUCCAUGGACAUCGCAUUCGCCAGAUAUCACUCCCUUGGACUUCUUUUUAUGGGGGUAUGUAAAAGAUAUCGUGUAUCAAACAAAGACACAGGACAUUGCUGACUUGAAGCAAAGGAUUCGUAAUGCCAUUGCCACCACUGAUGUGGCUAUCCUACAACGAACAUGGCAAGAAAUCGAGUACAGUCUUGAUGUGCUUCGCGCAACUAAUGGUGCUCAUAUUGAGGUCUAUUAAAUAACAGUUAAAAAAACUUUAAUAAGCAGUUAUUACAAUAAAAUAAAUCUGGUUAAGAUAUCUUGUCAACUGCGUUUGUAAUAAAAUUUUAAAAUUGUAAAGAGAC